GGGACACGUGGUAUCCUGUCUGAAUAUGGGGGGACCAUCCUCCAAGGCUAAAUACUCCUGACUGACCGAUAGUGAACCAGUACCGUGAGGGAAAGGCGAAAAGAACCCCGGCGAGGGGAGUGAAAAAGAACCUGAAACCGUGUACGUACAAGCAGUGGGAGCACGCUUAGGCGUGUGACUGCGUACCUUUUGUAUAAUGGGUCAGCGACUUAUAUUCUGUAGCAAGGUUAACCGAAUAGGGGAGCCGAAGGGAAACCGAGUCUUAACUGGGCGUUAAGUUGCAGGGUAUAGACCCGAAACCCGGUGAUCUAGCCAUGGGCAGGUUGAAGGUUGGGUAACACUAACUGGAGGACCGAACCGACUAAUGUUGAAAAAUUAGCGGAUGACUUGUGGCUGGGGGUGAAAGGCCAAUCAAACCGGGAGAUAGCUGGUUCUCCCCGAAAGCUAUUUAGGUAGCGCCUCGUGAAUUCAUCUCCGGGGGUAGAGCACUGUUUCGGCAAGGGGGUCAUCCCGACUUACCAACCCGAUGCAAACUGCGAAUACCGGAGAAUGUUAUCACGGGAGACACACGGCGGGUGCUAACGUCCGUCGUGAAGAGGGAAACAACCCAGACCGCCAGCUAAGGUCCCAAAGUCAUGGUUAAGUGGGAAACGAUGUGGGAAGGCCCAGACAGCCAGGAUGUUGGCUUAGAAGCAGCCAUCAUUUAAAGAAAGCGUAAUAGCUCACUGGUCGAGUCGGCCUGCGCGGAAGAUGUAACGGGGCUAAACCAUGCACCGAAGCUGCGGCAGCGACGCUUAUGCGUUGUUGGGUAGGGGAGCGUUCUGUAAGCCUGUGAAGGUGUGCUGUGAGGCAUGCUGGAGGUAUCAGAAGUGCGAAUGCUGACAUAAGUAACGAUAAAGCGGGUGAAAAGCCCGCUCGCCGGAAGACCAAGGGUUCC
rnacentral:rRNA from 1 species